CUCAAAAAUAAUAAAAAUAAUAAUAAAUAAAACAAAUAAAUAAAUAAAGCCAGAAAGAUAACUUCAAAGUCUAAAUGAAUCCAGAGGAAAACACCAAAUACCCCAGCCAUGUAUCUAUAACAAACAUGAAUUAUCUGAGGCCGGGCGUGGUGGCUCAUACCUGUAAUCCCAGCACUUUGGGAGGCCAAGGCAGGCGAAUCACUUGAGGCCAGGAGUUUGAGACCAGCCUGGUCAACAUGAUGAAACCCCAUCUCUACUAAAAAUACAAAAAUUAGCAGGACAUGAUGGUGAGCACCUGUGAUCCCAGUUACUCAGGAGGCUGAGGAGAAUCACUUGAACCUGGGAGACAGAGGUUGCAGUGAACUGAGAUGGUGCCACUGCACUCCAGCCUGGGUGACAGAGCAAGACUCUGUCUCAAAAAAGAAAAAAAAAAGAAUUAAAUUACAAAAGGAUUUGUCAUGUCUUCAUUAAGCAACAAGUUUACAAGGUAGCUCAUUUGCUAAGAAGGUGGCUGCGGCUGGAAGCUCCCUGAGGGCAGACCAAGCCUCUUGGGCUUGGCCUGGAUUCCCGGAGGCACCAGCCGCCUGGUACAUGGCAGGUGUUCAACAUGGAGGAAUGAGCUAAGGAGGAGGCAGCAGGCGGCUGAGCAGACCGUCCUGAGACUUCUGUGGAAGGAGGAGGCCUCAAAGUGAGCACAGGGCAGGAAACCCUGACAAUCCGGGAAGGGAGCUCCAGGGAGCUCCGGGGCCCUCUGGGAGAAAGCCUAGAACAUAUUGCAGGCAGUUCCUGGGGCCUCUGUGGUGGAAAGGAGUAGCCAGAAGGACCAGCUUUAACCUCUUUCAUUCUCACUUUAGGAGAAAUGAGUUUGGAGCACAUGGAUUUCCUGCGGGGAUGCUUCUCUCUAACUCUCCCUGAUGCACAGGACACAGCAGGGGGCUUGGCCAGUUUUUGGGUGAUGGUGCUUGCCCAGAGGAUGGGGAGGCAUUGACCCCCCAAGCCAAGAGAAAGAAGACCAGAGAAGAGGUAGCUGAACUGGAUUGACAGAGCAGCAAAUACAAUAACCCCUUGUCUUUCCUGGAGACUUCACGGUAAAGGAAGAAAAUAAAUACCCACCCGCAACGAUGAACAGAAUGGAAGGGGCCAUUGGUGAAUGAGUGUUAUCAAUGAAUUUCUAGGAGAUAGAAAACUGGUGGAGGAGAGGUAACUGGAGAAACAAGAAAAACUGCAGCCUCACUGGCCACAAAGAUGGAGAUUCUGACGCCCAGAGAUGGGAAGGGGCUUUCUGAAGGUCACACAGCACGUAAGUAGCAAAGACAGGGCCAGAUGGUAAAACCAUUGCCCUUGUAAUGACCUGGAACUCCCUGGCUCUGUGGGUUGAGAGGUGUGUGCGGGGUGCGGGGUGAGACUGGAUAUAGGCUCGGCUCUGACGGUUGUCUGAGAAGAUGGGGAGAGGGCCGAGGGGCAGGGACUCCGAGAUAUUCAAUAUUGGUUGCUUAUUCUUCCAUAGUAAAAUGUCUAUGACCUGUCUCAUCCUGGCCAUACAGAAAGAUGAUAAAGCAACAGCCACAGCCCUGCCAGGAUGAAUCAAGGAGCUGAGCUUGGGAGUAAAACCAAAGUGCAAGUCUGACUUUACAGAAGUGGAGAGGGAAAUGGCAGCCUCAGGGAAACCUGGCCUGGUGAGGGGGUGUCCCCACUGGCUCUCCGGUGCCACUGGGUUUGCUCCCAGGAUCUUACUGCCUUCUGUGUGCAGUCCUGCACCCCUGGGCGAAGACUUCUCAUUUACUCUCUUCCUUCUCCACAUGCAAGUCAAACUGUUCCCUGCCUAAGCAAAGUCAAAUGGAAUCAGCCUGAAAAUGCUAGAGAAUAACAAAAAAGCACCCCCUGAAGCUAAAUCCAGACCAACGGCCAUUCAUCCAUCCAUCCAUUCAUUCACUGAGCAACAACAAACACUUAUUAGGAAAUAAUAACACUAGUGUUGAUUGAGCCAGGCACUGUGCUACAUCCUUACAUCAAUUACUGUACUUGCCCCUCACAACAAUUCUAGGAGGAAAAAACUGUUAUCCCCAUUUCACAGGCAAGUAAACUGAGGCACAGGGUGACGAAGGCAUGUUCCAAAGUCAGACUCGAGUUUGCCUACAACUGAGGGUAGUGUCACUGCAGCUUUCUUUUCUUUCCUAUUUUUUCUGCCCUUUUCUCCACUUUUUUUUUUUUUAAUUUUUUUUAUUUUUGCUCUGUCACCCAGGCUGGAGUGAAGAGGCGCGAUCUCUGCUCACUGCAACCUCUGCCUCCCGGGCUCAAGCAGUUCUCCUGCCUCAGCCUCCCUAGUAGCUGGGAUGACAGGCAGGCGGGCACCACCACACCUGGCUAAUUUUUUGUAUUUUUAGUAGAGAUGGGGUUUCAUCAUGUUGGCCAGGCUGGUCUCGAAUCCCUGACCUCAGGUGAUCCACCCUCCUUGGCAUCCCAAAGUGCGGGAUUACAGGCGUUAGCCACCACGCCCAGCCCCUUUUCCACAUGCUCUAAUCUCACUGAAACUUUCUGCUUUCUGUCUAGAACCCAACUUUUUCUAUGAGGGGCUACAUCUUCCAGCUGCCAAUUCAGAAGACUCAAUUAUGCUUAAGUUGGAACCAGGACAACCCGCCUCAUGCAGGGUUCCAUCUGCAAAGUCCUUGAGCACCAGUGCUCGUGAUCUCUGCUCAUCCAAGGGGGAGGGACCACUGCCCCAUUUCACUCGUGGAGAGACUGAGGUCACAGGGAGAGUCCGCACGAAGCUGGGCCUCAGACCUGGCUCUGCUGCUCUGGGGCCUGUGUUCACUGUGGACGAGAGGGUUUCUGGAAGUCCCUUCGACUCCUACAAACACACGCGCAGCUUUGGGACCCCACCUCACCUCCCCGGCUGACAAGAAUCAGAGAAGGGACUGCAGGGUCUUGAAGUUAACUCACUUCUCUCAGCCCUACCGUGGGCAGGCCCUGUGCUCAGCACCUUAGCUGCACUGUCUUAUUUAAUCCCCUUCACUGUGCCCAUUCUUGUGGGCUCUGAGCUCUGCUUGUGCCAUGGGAAACCCCAAAAGUCUGGACAGGAGUGAGGUUAACACAUAGGAACAACAGAGAAAGUGGGACAGUCGCUAACUGCAAGGUGCAGGGGACAUGAGUGAGAUGGGAUGACUAUGUAACUCACCAGUGCUCCCAGCCCCACCCCACAUCCCAUCAAAAGAACUUUCUCUUCACCUGUGAACUCUCUCCCCUCAGUCUACCCCUACCCUCUGAGCUGAGCCCAGUCCCAAGAUGUCUUGGUAUCAAAUCUGAAGAACUGGUAGCAGAGGCGGGACCUGAGGGUCCAUAGGAGAGGACUUGGUUGAUCUGGGUAGCAAAGUCCCAACACUGGGGCAGGAAAAAGGUGACACAGACACCGAGCAGGGUCUGAGGUCUGGGGAGGGACAGACCCUCAGGCAGCCGCAGGAUGUGAGAGAGAAUGGGUAAGGGCAGAGGAGGGUUUGGAAAAAUGUCUGCUCCAAGAUAUAAAUGGUUGUUGGGGAUCAAAAGUUGGAAUGACACAGUGGCCAGGGCAGGCUUCUGGGGCCCCACAUCUGCAGAAACUCAGCCACAUGGUGCCAGCGAACUCAGCAUGUAAGAGGGAGGCAAAAAAAUUAGGGAGGACUUCUUGGAGGAAAUGGGACUUGAGCUGAGCCUUGAAUGAUGGGCAAGACUUGGAAGGCUAAGAAAAGACGGUUCUAGUGAGGUCACAGAGGGAGCAAAGCUCAGGUGGAGCCUGGCAGGUGGGGGUGAGGAUGCAAGGACCACCCUCCAGCCACACGACAUCAAUGGAGGCCCAGCAGGUGGGACCCUUAAGACAGUGGACCAGGAAAAUUAGGCCGAGACAUACAGACCUGAAGCAGCAAGACAGAGGGACAGUGAUGCUAUGGAACAUUUUGGGGUGGGCAGUAACAUGAUAAAGUUAGCAUUUAGGAAUGAAUGGAAGUGAUUACCUGGGGUGGGGGGAUUGGUGCAGAGAGGAUACAAAGUGAAUUCUGGGAUGCUGGAGGUAAGUGUUUUAUGUCUUGGGUGGUGUCACAAGAGUGUAUGUGUAUGUUCAAAUUCCAUAGGCUGAGCAGGGCACAGUGGCUCACGCCUGUAAUCCCAGCACUUUGGGAGGCUGAGGCAGGUGGAUCACCUGAGGUCAGGAGUUCGAGACCAGCCUGGCCAACAUGGCGAAACCCGGUCUCUACUAAAAAAUACAAAAAAUAGCCAGGUGUGGUAGCACACACCUGUAAUCCCAGCUACUCAGGAGGCUGAGGCAGGAGAAUCACUUGAACCUGGGGGGUGGGGGUUGCAGUGAGCUGAGAUUGCACCACUGCACUCCAGCCUGGGCAACAGAGCGAGACUCCAUUUCAAAACAAAACAAAACAAAAAACAAAUUCCACAGGCUGUAAUGUGUGUGUAUUGCACUGCAUGUAAGUCAUGCCUUAAUCAGUUCUGCUAGCAUGAAAAAAAAAAAAAAAGGAAGGAGGAUAGAGGGGAGUGGUAGGGACCAGCAUCCACAUAGAAGCUCAAAUCAGCAAGUGUUUACCACUUCUGGGAAGCAUGUUGUUGCCAAAACACAGGGGCGCUAAGUGGAGCAACAUCUCAAGGAACGAGUCUUUGAAAGUUCUUCCAAGGCCUCUCAUUCUGCCACCCCGCAGGCGGGCAACAGAAGCAGGACCCCUCCCUGCUGCAGGCAAAAAGGCAAAAAUCUCUAAGGAUAUGCAAUGCUCUUCCAGGUUUACUAGGUAAAGACUUCACCUCAAGCGUAUACAUAGAAUCCCAUUUUUGUUGAAAAUAUACAUGUAUGUAUGCCAGUAUGGUUCAUUCCGCCUGUGAG
rnacentral:lncRNA from 10 species